rnacentral:rRNA from 1 species
GAAAAGAAACUAACAAGGAUUCCCCUAGUAACGGCGAGUGAAGCGGGAAGAGCUCAAAUUUGAAAGCUGGUACCUUCGGUGCCCGCGUUGUAAUCUCGAGACGCGUUUUCCGCGCGGCGCUAUGGACAAGUUCCUUGGAACAGGACAUCGUAGAGGGUGAAAAUCCCGUACUUGCCAUGGAUGCACCGUGCUUUGUGAUACGUGCUCAAAGAGUCGAGUUGUUUGGGAUUGCAGCUCAAAAUGGGUGGUAGACUCCAUCUAAAGCUAAAUAUCGGGGAGAGACCGAUAGCGAACAAGUACCGUGAGGGAAAGAUGAAAAGCACUUUGGAAAGAGAGUUAAAAGUACGUGAAAUUGUCGAAAGGGAAGCGCUUGAAGUCAGCCAUGCCGCUCAGGACUCAGCCUGGCUUUUGCUUGGUGUACUUCCUGGGUAGCAAGUCAGCAUUGGUUUGGACCGUCGGAGAAGCAUGGCAGGAAUGUGACGCCCUCGGGCGUGUUAUAGCCUGCCAUUGGAUACGCCGGUCUAGACCAAGGAACGCAGUGCGCCUUAUGGC